CGACCGCGCUUUCCACGGCCGUUGUUUCCUGGUGCGCGGCGUGAGGUGACUGAGGCUCCUUCACGCGGGCUCGGUACCCGCGAAGGGUGCGGCUGAUCCCAGAUGAUGGAAGCCAGUUGUUUGGCUGGGGUCAGAUCCGGCCAGUGGAUGGCCAAAAGCCUAAGCUAGAUUUUUGUUGAUACUGGGCUUUCUCAUUCUCUGAAUGCCUGUCCCCUCCCGGAACUGCUGGUAGACCUCCAUUUCUGAACAAGGCAGUGUUAUUGGACCCUUUAUGCCUAAAGGUGUAACUUUUGUCUCUUCCGGUUCUCCAUCCCCUUGGAUACCGUGUUUGUUUUUUACUGCAAAUUAAUAAGAUUGUCCUUUAAAAAAGCCUUGGCACUCUUUUAUUAACAAGACUAAGAAUCUAAAAGGGAGCUCUAAAUACCUCCAGGUUUUCAACAUAUGUGAAUACACUUAUUUUAUUUAUAUAUAUAUCUUUGCAAAUCUCAGAAAUGUAACAAAGUAGAGCAGAAUAGAUAGAAAAAACUAAAGUGACUUAGGAAAGCAAAGAAGCCUUUAGGAGUCCAGUAGACGUCUCAUGCCCACUGAAAGCCAAGAAUUCAGCAAAGUUAGCAAAAUUUGCUGUAAUAAUUGCCUUCAUGAUAUUAAUUAGAAAAAUUUUAAAUUUUCAUAAAAUGACAGUGAACCAUGCUUAAAGCCUGUCUAUAUAUGAGUACUGGCCUUUCCCCUUUAUAAGCUAUAACCUUUUUUUCUCCCAGGACUUCCAAGUUUAUGGUGGAAGACCUGACCUACAUUCUUACGCAACCUUGGUUUUGCUUGUACCUUACCCUCCAAUGCACUUUACAACCACUGUGCUCUCAUUUACUGAAAAGUAAUUUCAGAAGGCUUGAAAUAGUCUGAAAAGCGGUUGCAGCUGUUGCUAAGACCUUUGAGCAGCCCAUGCUCACUUGGGUUUGUGUUGUCUUUUUGCUAAGUGUCUGUUAUACAUGUCUAUGCUUAAAUCUGUAAGAUCUUUAAAACAGGUUUUGCAGUUUACAUGCAUGUGUAUAUGGUGGUGGAGGGCAAAGGUGGAUGUCAAAUGUCUUCCUCAUCAUUUGCUUACUUUUUCUUCCUGUGGCUGCACAGGCUCCAGUUCAGCAGUAAUCAACUCCAGUUCUGCCUCAUACUGAGUCCCUGCAAUCCCCCGUCCCCCCCACCCCCUUUUUAGUGGCACAGUCAAGAAUUCCUCUUCCCCCCUGAGUGGAGGCCUCUGCAAAGGAUUCCUGCAGACAGCAGCAUGGGGUUGCACCUCAUCCUUACGCCCGUUACUGCGAACACAAGCGCUGUGCCACAGGGUACAAUUCUACGGGGAGCAUGAUGUGUGUAAGGAAGUGCAGAGUAUAGACUACGUUUCAGGGUUGCGGUUACUUUGCUUAGUGGUACUGCCUGCCGGGCAUACACGAGGCUUCAAGUCCAACUCCCAGCACAAGACAACCCCCUAGAAAACAAAUCACCAACAUUUAAGUUGAUUUAAAAACUUUAUCACAAACAUAUCUGAUCAUAAGGAAGAGAAAUCAGCACAGAAGGUUGGGAUCUGCCCUUCCUUGCUCACUUCCCACAGUCCACAGGGCCAGAAUGAGGACUCACUUCCGUUGUUACUUCCACGGAAUAAACUGAAGAGAGAGAGCACAGAAAAACCAGGAAAAAGUAGCAGCCUCGUGCUCAUGUUAAAAGUAGUUCACGUCUCAAACAGCUUGAGGUAAACAGUUGUAGACAACCUACAGCCUUCCUGGUUUUGACAUUCAGUGAUACUUUAGUACUCAACUUUGAUUCCACCCAGAGACUUCUUGUUGUCUACACUCUUCAUUAAUAAAAGCUUCUAGCAAUAUUGAGCCACAACAAUAUCAUGAAAAACUAUAAAAUUUAGUUUUACUAUCAAAACCUAGUUACUAUCCUCUAAUAUUUUAAAUUAAAAUAAAAAAUUCUAGCUGUG